AUCUUGUCUUUUUUCCCUUGUGGUGUUGACCAUUAAGUGUCGUCGUUAUGAGGAUCCAUACGAUCUAGGAACGAAGACUCGUUGCAUCAAUCUCCUUCAAAGUCUUAAUUUAUAUUUGUUUUUAUGCACUUGUAUGAUUCUUUUCUUCUUUUUCUGUUUAUGAUUAUACGUUUGUAUUUAAGAUUUGUAUUUCAUAUAUGUAAG